GCUUGGAAGAUGUUGAAAUUGGUCUGAACAUCAUGCAGUGAAAAAACUGGAUGAGGACAAAAAGACAUGAAAAUGUGCUGCUACACAAACAGCAGGCUGGGGAAGCUGAGAGACCAGGUGGAACAUGCAUAAGAUGGAACAUGCACAACGGAUAACCUACAAACACCAAACAAGUGACUGGGAAAUGAAAAAACCCACGGAUUAUACAGAGCACUGAUGCUGGCUUCAUUUACACUUCUGGUCUUUACACAAUGGUUGCUGUCCAAUUCAGAAACAAGGAUAAAAAAAUUUGCCAAACACUUUUGAAAUUCUUCCU